rnacentral:rRNA from 1 species
CCUACGGGUGGCAGCAGUGGGGAAUAUUGCGCAAUGGGCGAAAGCCUGACGCAGCGACGCCGCGUGAGGGAUGAAGGUCUUCGGAUCGUAAACCUCUGUCAGCAGGGAAGAACGGUCACGGGGCUAAGCAGCAGUGAAUUGACGGUACCGGCAAAGGAAGCACCGGCUAACUCCGUGCCAGCAGCCGCGGUAAUACGGAGGGGGCGAGCGUUAAUCGGAAUUACUGGGCGUACAGCGCUCGUAGGCGGUAUGUCAAGUCAAGGGUGAAAUCCCCGCGCUCAACGUGGGAACUGCCUUUGAAACUGGCAACCUGGAGUGUGUGAUAGGAUAGUGGAAUUCCAGGUGUAGGCGU